GAGGCCAGCUGUUGAGCUGUAACCGUAAGUUCAUGUAUAUAUAGGUGAUCGGGUGUGCGGGUUGUGAUAAGAUGGACUUCGAUUAUCUGUUUUUUUACUAUAUAUACAUGAACUUACGGUUACAGCUCAACAGCUGGCCUCUGUAGCUCAGUUGGUUAGAGCGCUGCACCGGAAUCGCAGUGCCGUAGGUUCAAUUCCUACCAGAGGACCUUGUGCUGCAUUUUUCGCAGUCGUUCCUGGUCAGGUCUUAAAAAGUAUAUAUAUACUCACUUGGAUUACAAACCCUAAGAACAGCAUUCAAAUAUUAAUACCACCAAGUGAAGUGCAAAAAACCAGAUCAUUGAAGUCCAUCUUAUCACUUCCCUAUAAUUGCUUGAGUGCCCACCAAACAGCAGCUUGAAAUUGAUGCGGACAAUGUAAUCCAUUGUAAAUAUUAAGUAGCUAGUUUUAUUAAAUGUAAAAAUAUCUGUCUUUACCCUAGCAACUGCAGGGCGUCCUAAAAAAGGCAAUAGCUGUAUUGCAGAUUUUUAUACAGUUAAUUAUUAGUAAUUAUUAGUAAGCAUCGAAAAUUCAUUCUGAGAGAUACGUUUUGACCCUAAAAUUGUUAAAAUAGCUCUUAAAUUAAAACUAGUAGAUGGCCAAUAUCAUAGCUAUUUAAAGCAAGGGGACAUCAAACCUAUUGAUACUUAACACGCAACUUGGGCCGGCUAUUCAUGGCUUUUUUAAACUUUCUAAAAUUCACCGUGGAUUGGCAUGCAUCUACCAGACUUGGUAAUAGACAACCAUAACAUUGGUUCUACCAGACCGAUUUUAAUAAUCUUAUUGUCAAAAUUCAUCUCUUAUAGAUAUAAUUUACGAUUCCCAUGCACUAAUAAUUAGCUGUGCAAUAAUCCGGAACACAACUAUUGCAUUUUUCUGGGUAAAAUUCUUAAUAAAAUACUUAAUUACUAACUUAAAAUACUUAAUUCUAAAAUACUUAAUUCAAUCAAUGUUUUAGAAACGUCGUGGAAAUAUUGGGCUGUUAACUAACUAAGGAAACUUUGUUUUCAAACAUUUAAUGUUUCUGACAUUGACAGGAAACAAAUUGUGUUUCCUAUCAACAAUACAUGUUUCUGACAUACAUGUUUCAUGCACUGAUUUAAUAGUAGGUUUCAUGACAUACAACAAUUAAUACAUGUUUCUGACAUUGAUAGGAAAGGAAUUUUUGUUUCGGCAAUGAAAAAAUUCAAAUGUUCUCAAUACACCCUUCCGGAAAGUACGUCAUCUUGGCUAUAGAGCCUCGUUUUCGUAAUUGCGACAUUGGAUUUUAACUAAUAGAUUCAGCUCAAGAAUGAGCGCUAAGCAAUUUGAUUACUCAAAUAAAUGUGUGAAGCUUUUUCAAAUAACCUUACGAACUGCUAAGUUCUGCUAAAGCGAUACUGCAAUGUUUUCUGUAAUUUCGACACACCUCUUGGGUACGAGGCAGAGCACUGUGAAAGCUUAUUGUGACCCAGGUGCUUUAAAUAUAAUACAUGAAAUAUAUUAAGGCGGGAGACGCGCGAAGAGGCUGUUGGGAAGGAACUACAAUACUUCAUGUAAACUCGUC
rnacentral:lncRNA from 1 species